rnacentral:rRNA from 1 species
GACGAACCGUGCGAACGUUGUUCGGAAUCACUGGGCUUAAAGGGCGCGUAGGCGGACCACCAAGUCGGGGGUGAAAUCUUUCAGCUCAACUGGAAAAGAGCUUCCGAUACUGGUGGUCUCGAGGGAGGUAGGGGUCGAGGGAACUAAUGGUGGAGCGGUGAAAUGCGUAGAUAUCAGGAGGAACACCGGUGGCGAAGGCGGUGAUCUGGGCCGACACUGACGCUGUAGAGCGAAAGCGUGGGGAGCGAACAGG